GGUGGGGAUCCUCUGGACCAUGGGGAAGGCAUGCAAGCGGCACUGGGAAUGGACAAGAGCAGGGCUGGAGCACAUAAAGUGGACCUGAGACGGUGGCACUGGGCUUUAUGUGUGCUAUGGGAAACAGAGAAGAACCUAAGGGAGAGGGUGUUUAUUUGAAAGCGGUGAGUUUGGAAAAUGAUAUUGAGGAAAUAAGCAGGCUGAAUAGAAGGCACCCGAAAAAGAAUGCCAGGAGAGAAAGUGAGCGACAACACCAGGGGACAAGACAAUGGUAAUUCCAUAAUUAGGGGCCUGUUUUCCAGAAUCCAAAGAAGGGUAUAAGUACAGCAUCUUGCAAGUCAUGCAGCAAAACAGGUAAGAGAUGGCCCCUCUUUCCCCUUGUGUUGAAAUGUUGGUAAUGCUAUUUUUUGACAUGAACAAUAUAGAUAUAUUGCGGAGGAGAACACAGAAUUUACGUCAAUUUUUAUGAUAAAACAUGAGUGGCCAAGGAAAUUUCAAACCUGCUGCUGGUUGCUUCAGGCUGUACUACUCAAAUAAACCAAAACAUUUCUUUUCAUAUACUUUGAACUCUGAUUUCAUCGUCUUUUCCAUCUGGACUGUUAGGCGGGGACGACCAGACUCUCUUUCUUUAAUAGUCUAUGUAAUCAUUGAAGGGCCUAUCUUUGUUAUUUUAAAAUGAGGAUCUGUGCAUGUUUUAUGAAAUUCAUCCUAUCCCACUUCAGUUCAUCAGCUGGCCCAGAUAGGUUACUUUAAAGAAAACCGGGAGAAGACCAGCCAGCCUGAGAACCUUGGAGAAGUGUUGGCUUUCAAAUGGUUUCUGAAGUUAGGCAGAUGUUUACUCUCUGUCAUGGUUUGAAUGCUCGCCCCUCUAAAACUCAUGUUGAAAUUUAAUUGUCAAUGUAACGGUAUAAGGAAGUGGGGUUUUAAAACAUGAUUAGGCCAUGAGGGCUCCACUCUCUUGGGUGGGCUUACUGCCUUUACAAAGAGGCUUUGGAGAGUAGGCUGUCUCUCUUCUCACCCUCUAGCCUUCCUCCAUAUUAUGACACAGCAAGAAGGUUCUCGCUGGAUACCAGCACCUAGAUCUUAGAUUUUCCAGCCUCCAGAACUGUGAGAAAAUGAUUUUCUCUUCUUUGUAAAUUAUCCAGUCUGUGGUAUUCUGUUCUAGCAGCACAAAAGGGACUAAGACACGCUCAUUCCUGCUUGUUACUACAGCAUGGCUCCUACGAAGAGCGCCAAAACCUGCAGGGAAGUUGUGCUUUGGAUGAACCUCUUACUUCUUGGGCAUGGAAGUCCUUUCACCAAGAACAGAGACAGCCCUUGCCAAAUCUAAACUCACCGGGCCUAUGUUAUUUCAGGUGAAAACACUGUGUUUGUUCCAGGCACAAACACAUACAGGUGACUCAUCAGGUUCUAAGAUGGAACAUAAUGACACAAGAGUACCAGGCACAAAACCAUGCUCUCAAGCCACUCAGAAGGCACUUUAGAUGAUGAAAACCAAACAGAAGCUGAGUGACCAACCUCCCCACCCCCAUCACACUCAGCAGGCUGAGCAGAGUCACAGAACACACACACCUGGGUGGAACAGAUGGCACCCCGGUGCUAUUGUUAUUUUACAGUCUGGCUGAAUGGCAAGCUGAACUGUCAAGGACAAUAUGUAGACUAUUGCAGUUAAACAGGGGAUUGUGUCUCCCAAGAAAGGAUUCCACCAUCUCGGUGGAGUUAAGUAUAGCUUCUCCACACAGGGGAAGUGAGGACAGCUGAGAUUUUCCAGGAGAAGUGAUUUAGAUUAUAUAAAGACCCUUAAUGAAUUAUUUCCAGGCAUUGUCUGCAGUGUCAUAUUGCUUGAGCUUUCCGUUAGCAGCUUCCUGGAAAAGAACUUCUGCUUGUCUGGGUCUUGAGUUUCUGUUGCUUACAGCAGCCAGAGUUGCCAUCUGUGCACAUAUAGAGCAUAUAUUUUAAAUUUUGACAUUUCCAAAAUAUGACUGUUUUGUAAAAUUAUUUGGAUAAAAUAUGUCUGAUGGGAAAGCACACAGCCUGUGUGUGAGAACUUGGGAAGCAAACUGACGAGAGGCUCCUGGCAGGUUGUAUUAAUUCUUAACAUGCAAAACAGCCACAUGUUGGAAGCUAAUACUGGAGCAAGGCUGAAAUCUAUUAUUAUUUCAGAGUAUUAGCAUUGUUUGGUGUAGAAUAACUUAACCGUAAUGACACAUUGAGAAAUCAAUAUGACACGAGAGCCAGUGCGCAUUUUCUUAAAGAUGAACUGGCUGAUGGUUUUAGCAAUGUUUUAACAGAAGGAAUAAGCAAAUUUCAAAAGUAAAUGAAUCCGAAGCUGAUAAGCAAGUAAUACAUUUGUAGUACAUGAAUGAUUUUGUUUGAGUUUGCGAUUAUCACCAUAUUGCUCUAGAAAUAUAUAGUACGGCCUUUUACUUUGUGUUCCAAUUACUCCACAUGUCCUAUAGUUGUAUGCAUUUUAUAUAUUUGUCAUUCAUAAGCAAGGAACUCAAAUUUUCUGUUCUUAAAAAACACUCAAUUUAGUAUUGUUUGACAGGAUGGUAUGAAAAGUUGAAGAUGGAGAGAAAAAAGGCUGGAUUGUAAUUUUAGUGACCAAAAGAGAAAAUAAUAUCCUCCUCUAAGAUUCCUUACUCUAUUUUGUCAAAGUGGAAGUAACUUAACUUUUUGCUGCUAAUUAUAAGAAAAUUAAAUUCUUGUUAAAAGUAAUUUGAGUAGUACAGAAGUAUAAAGUGAAAGGUGAAGGUAUCUCUGUAAUCCCACCCCACCGAGAUUACAACUGUUAACAGUUUGAUAUGUGUAUUUCUUGAUUUCUAAAUGCAUAGGUAUAAGCAAAUAUGUAUAAAUAAAACAAUUGAGGUUAUUUGGAAUCCACUGCUCCAUAAGCUGCUUUUUCAUUUGACUGGAUCU
rnacentral:lncRNA from 1 species